UCCUGCUCCACGAGCAUCCUGAUCAGCGUCUUUCCCAGGAAGCCGCACGCUCCCGUCACCACGCAUAUGUCGCCGUCCAGGCAAGACAUCUCAGAUCCUCAGCAGGAUGGAAAAAGCAAAGAAAAGAAGAAGAAGGUUUUUCCAGGUCUACGGAGGGGAGCACUCACCUUGCUGAGCCAGUUGCUGCGGGGGCGGCGCAGGGGAUCUGUCUGGAUGACCGGACACGCGGGAUUGACGCCUGCCACUCAAGCGGGAAAAGCGGAGACUCAGCCUCCCUGGUCUGCUGUCAUCUCCGACCCUGCGGUGGCAAAGACAGUGGUUGGUCACUAGGCAGGCAGGUCACAGUUUGGAAAACUGGAUGAGGUUCCUGUUGAUUUCCGCCACAUUCCGGCAACCUGCAACAAUGAAAUGGAGGCACUUCACAGUGGACUGAUGUUGUCGUGGUCAUCGUGUGGACUAGUCGCACUCACCCGAUAAAGCCAUGGACAGGCGGAACUCGUCAUUUAGAAUUUGGAGCACCUCCCUCACUCCUUCCUCCCCCUGAAAUGACAAGAGACAAAAUAUUAGGAAGAACUCCCAGACUGAUACAGUGGAGCCGUACACCAUUUGACUGGACUUGUAUACAUUAAAUAUUUGAUCUCAAAUUUUUCUUUUUUUUGAAUUUUGUUUAUUUGCAUUUUUUUUCUUUUUGGAUGCGACAUGAACUCAACAUGGUUUUUAUUUUAUUUUAAUUUUUCAAAUGUAUCUUUAUUAUUAAUUAAUGAUACACUUUGAACCCCCAAUAGAAAAUUAUUGUAUAUUUUUCUUAAUUUGUCCAUUUUAUUUUGUAAUAUAUUUUUAAAAUAUUUUUGUUGUGAGAUCAAUAACAUUGUUUUAUUUAAUUAUAUAGUACUGUAAAUGUAUUUCAUUUCAUUUUGAAAUUGACCAUUUCCAUGUUUUUAAUUUUUUAAAAUGAUCCAUCCAUCCAUUUUCUACCGCUUAUCCGAGGUCGUGUCGUGGGGGCAGUAGCUUCAGCAGGGACGCCCAGACUUCCCUCUCCCAAGCCACUUCAUCCAGCUCUUCCGGGGGAAUCCCGAGGCGUUCCCAGGCAAACCGAAGGAUGUAGUCUCUCCAGCGUGUCCUGAGUCGUCCCCGGGUUC